rnacentral:rRNA from 1 species
UACGUAGGGACCAAGCGUUGUUCGGAUUUACUGGGCGUAAAGGGCGCGUAGGCGGCGUGGUAAGUCACUUGUGAAAUCUCCGAGCUUAACUCGGAACGGUCAAGUGAUACUGCUGUGCUAGAGUGCAGAAGGGGCAAUCGGAAUUCUUGGUGUAGCGGUGAAAUGCGUAGAUAUCAAGAGGAACACCUGAGGUGAAGACGGGUUGCUGGGCUGACACUGACGCUGAGGCGCGAAAGCUAGGGUAGCAAACGGG